CCUACGGGAGGCAGCAGUAAGGAAUCUUCCACAAUGGACGAAAGUCUGAUGGAGCAACGCCGCGUGCAGGAUGAAGGCUUUCGGGUCGUAAACUGCUUUUAUAUGGGAAGAUUAUGACGGUACCAUAUGAAUAAGGACCGGCUAACUACGUGCCAGCAGCCGCGGUAAUACGUAGGGUCCAAGCGAUAUCCGGAAUUACUGGGCGUAAAGCGUGUGUAGGUGGAUUAAUAAGUGUGAUGCGAAAUCCGGCGGCUCAACCGUUUGGACUGUGUCGCAUACUGUUAGUCUAGAGGACGGCAGAGGUAAGUGGAAUUACGGGUGUAGCAGUGAAAUGCGUAGAUAUCCGUAGGAACACCAAUGGCGAAGGCAGCUUACUGGGCCACACCUGACACUGAGACACGAAAGCGUGGGGAGCGAACAGGAUUAGAUACCCUGGUAGUCCACGCCGUAAACGAUGCAUACUAUUAGUAUGGGGUAUCGACCCCCUGUGCUGAGAAGCUAACGCGAUAAGUAUGCCGCCUGGGGAGUACGAGCGCAAGCUUAAAACUCAAAGGAAUUAGACGG
rnacentral:rRNA from 1 species